GAAAGCAGGUCAUAGUGAUCCGGUGGUUCUGAAUGGAAGGGCCAUCGCUCAACGGAUAAAAGGUACUCCGGGGAUAACAGGCUGAUACCGCCCAAGAGUUCAUAUCGACGGCGGUGUUUGGCACCUCGAUGUCGGCUCAUCACAUCCUGGGGCUGAAGUAGGUCCCAAGGGUAUGGCUGUUCGCCAUUUAAAGUGGUACGCGAGCUGGGUUUAGAACGUCGUGAGACAGUUCGGUCCCUAUCUGCCGUGGGCGCUGGAGAACUGAGGGGGGCUGCUCCUAGUACGAGAGGACCGGAGUGGACGCAUCACUGGUGUUCGGGUUGUCAUGCCAAUGGCACUGCCCGGUAGCUAAAUGCGGAAGAGAUAAGUGCUGAAAGCAUCUAAGCACGAAACUUGCCCCGAGAUGAGUUCUCCCUGAGACUUUAAGUCUCCUGAAGGAACGUUGAAGACGACGACGUUGAUAGGCCGGGUGUGUAAGCGCAGCGAUGCGUUGAGCUAACCGGUACUAAUGAACCGUGAGGCUUAACCUUACA
rnacentral:rRNA from 1 species